rnacentral:rRNA from 1 species
ACCAUCCUAAGGUAGCGAAAUUCCUUGUCGGGUAAGUUCCGACCUGCACGAAUGGAGUAACGACUUCCCUACUGUCUCAACCAUGAACUCGGUGAAAUUGCAGUACGAGUAAAGAUGCUCGUUUCGCGCAGCAGGACGGAAAGACCCCGUGACCUUUACUAUAGUUUGGUAUUGGUGUUUGGUUUGGCUUGUGUAGGAUAGGUGGGAGACUGUGAAGCAUGGACGCUAGUUUGUGUGGAGUCGUUGUUGAAAUACCACUCUGGUCAAUCUGGAUGUCUAACUUCGGGCCAUGAUCUGGUUCAGGGACAGUGCCUGAUGGGUAGUUUAACUGGGGCGGUUGCCUCCUAAAGUGUAACGGAGGCGCCCAAAGGUUCCCUCAGCCUGGUUGGCAAUCAGGUGUUGAGUGUAAGUGCACAAGGGAGCUUGACUGUGAGACUGGCAGGUCGAGCAGGGACGAAAGUCGGGACUAGUGAUCCGGCGGUACGUUGUGGAACGGCCGUCGCUCAACGGAUAAAAGGUACCUCGGGGAUAACAGGCUGAUCUUGCCCAAGAGUCCAUAUCGACGGCAUGGUUUGGCACCUCGAUGUCGGCUCGUCGCAUCCUGGGGCUGGAGUCGGUCCCAAGGGUUGGGCUGUUCGCCCAUUAAAGCGGUACGCGAGCUGGGUUCAGAACGUCGUGAGACAGUUCGGUCCCUAUCCGCUGCGCGCGUUGGAAAUUUGAGAAAGGCUGUCCUUAGUACGAGAGGACCGGGACGGACGAACCUCUGGUAUGUCAGUUGUACCGCCAGGUGCAUGGCUGAUUGGCUACGUUCGGGAGGGAUAACCGCUGAAAGCAUCUAAGCGGGAAGCCUGUUUCGAGAUGAGAUUUCCUGGCACUUUUUGGUGUGUGAGGCUCCUUAUAGAUGAUGAGGUUGAUAGGCCGGGUAUGGAAGCGGGGACUGAAGACUCGUGGAGUUGACUGGUACUAAUAGGCCGAAGGCUUACUUU